rnacentral:rRNA from 1 species
UGCAGGAUGAAGGCCUUCGGGUUGUAAACUGCUUUUGUACGGAACGAAACGGUGAGCUCUAAUACAGCUUGCUAAUGACGGUACCGUAAGAAUAAGCACCGGCUAACUACGUGCCAGCAGCCGCGGUAAUACGUAGGGUGCGAGCGUUAAUCGGAAUUACUGGGCGUAAAGCGUGCGCAGGCGGUGAUGUAAGACAGAUGUGAAAUCCCCGGGCUCAACCUGGGACCUGCAUUUGUGACUGCAUCGCUAGAGUACGGUAGAGGGGGAUGGAAUUCCGCGUGUAGCAGUGAAAUGCGUAGAUAUGCGGAGGAACACCGAUGGCGAAGGCAAUCCCCUGGACCUGUACUGACGCUCAUGCACGAAAGCGUGGGGAGCAAACAGGAUUAGAUACCCUGGUAGUCCACGCCCUAAACGAUGUCAACUGGUUGUUGGGUCUUCACUGACUCAGUAACGAAGCUAACGC